rnacentral:rRNA from 1 species
CUUAACCGCGGAAGUGCCUUUGAAACUGUUGCUCUUGAGUCCCGGAGAGGUUGCCGGAAUUCGUGGUGUAGCGGUGAAAUGCGUAGAUAUCACGAGGAACACCAGAGGCGAAAGCGGGCAACUGGACGGGUACUGACACUGAGGCACGAAAGCGUGGGGAGCAAACAGGAUUAGAUACCCUGGUAGUCCGCGCCGUAAACGAUGGAUGCUCGCCGUUGCCUCGUCAAGGGGCAGUGGCUAAGCUAACGCGUUAAGCAUCCCGCCUGGGGAGUACGAUCGCAAGGUUGAAACUCAAAGGAAUUGACGGGGGCCCGCACAAGCGGUGGAGCAUGUGGCUUAAUUCGAUGCAACGCGAAGAACCUUACCUAGGCUCGAACGCUAGGCGACCGCUCCUGAAAGGGAGCUUUCCGCAAGGACGC